GCCAAUCUAUCUAUCACUGCUAAUCUAUCACUGCUGUCAAUCUAUCUACUGCUGUCAAUCUAUCUAUUGCUGCCAAUCUAUCUAUCACUGCUAAUCUAUCACUGCUAAUCUAUCGCUGCUAAUCUAUUACUGCUAAUCUAUCUAUCACUGCUAAUCUAUUACUGCCAAUCUAUCUACUGCUGCCAAUCUAUCUACCACUGCCAAUCUAUCUACUGCUGCCAAUCUAUCUAUCACUGCUAAUCUAUCACUGCUAAUCUAUCACUGCUAAUCUAUUGCUGCUAAUCUAUCACUACUAAUCUAUUGCUGCUAAUCUAUCUAUCACUGCUAAUCUAUCACUGUCAAUCUAUCUACCACUGUCAAUCUAUCUACCACUGUCAACCUACCUACCACUGCUAAUCUAUCACUGCUAAUCUAUCACUGCCAAUCUAUAUAGAGUAAAUCAUGGUCCCAUUUGAUUCCAUUUUGUAAAAUAGAAUUAAAUGAAACUGAGAUCACUAAUUUAUUAGUAAAACAUAAUCUGAGACUAGAUUUAUAAUAUAAACAGUGUAAAGUGACUAAUUUACUAAACACUAUAUGGGAUCAGAACUAAGAUAUCUAAUAAUGAAACUGAGGAAAAAUUUGAUCUCAGUCUCAUGCAUGAUCACACAGCC
rnacentral:sRNA from 2 species